CACACACAGGGAGGAGGGAGGCAGUGGUGAUGCUCAAGGAGAUGGGUCCCUGCCACACAGAGGAGACCUCGGUUGAGCUCCUGGCUCCUGAGAGCAGCCUGAGCUGACCCAGACCGCAUGGGCAUUAGGGAGGGAACCAACAGAUGGGACCUCUCUCUCUCUUGCAAAUAAGUUAAAUAAGUAAAUACGGUACUUUCAAAAAUAGGUUCUUAAAAACCAAAAGCCCCUGUGCCUCUGCCAGUGAUGGACAGUUCGUGGGCCUGGUCCUCGCCUUCCCCAGACACCCUGGGAUCUCCCCUGCAGACCACAGCCCAGCCAGUGUGGUUGACAGCAGUGUCCCUCCAGACCUGGCCCCUGGCUCUCACUGUGACCCACCAGCCCCCACAGGGGACAUCCCACUGUGGCCCCAGGCCUGCUCCGGCUCACCCAACCAGACGGGACUGAACGCCAUCUGGUCCAGCAGCCUCCUCUGGCCCCCACCCUGGGGAAGCUUCUCACGGCGCCCCACACUUCACGAGCGUUAGUCCCACGGCGCCCCACACUUCACGAGCGUUAGUGACUUUAAGCUGUUCAAUUACUCGCCUAAAGACCGUCCUCCCUGCUGCAACACGAGCUCCGGAGGGCAGGGACCAGGCUCCCCUGGCCCAGCCGAGGGGGAGAGUCAGCGGUGCUGAAGCGGACCCACCGUCCCCACGCCCGGAGGGCAGGGACCAGGCUCCCCUGGCCCAGCCGAGGGGGAGAGUUAGCGGUGCUGAAGCGGACCCACCGUCCCCACGCCCGGAGGGCAGGGACCAGGCUCCCCCGGCCCAGCCGAGGGGGAGUCAGCGGUGCGGAAGCAGACCCACCGUCCCCACACCCCGGAGCUCUACCUGAGCCCCAGCACCACCGCGGGUGCUCCCUCGAGGUCAGCAGGCGGUGCUCCACGCACAUAGACAGACGCGGGCUGCACUACGCAGUGACAAAAACCUCGCACGUCUGGGGCACAAGGUCUAAAUGCCCUGCAGAUCUACCCAUCACACUGGACAUCCAGGGCCAAAACAUGGGAAACAUCCAUCCAACAAAAUAAUCCGCUGCCAGAAAUGCCACACUUUACACAGCUGUCCCACGCAGCACGGAACACACACUUGGUGCACGGGUGUGCACGCAUGCAUGUGACAGUGUGGCAGGGGCUGCAGGGGGCAGGGACAGUCUCUGGAGUGUGUCUGAAGACACCGCUCCUAGGACACAACUUCCAUUUUCUCCAGCCUUUCUCUCUCCUGGAUGAUUAACACCACGGUCAUGUCCCUUCAUCCUGUCUCGCUAAGCAUCAGGGAAAUGCAUUCAGAACCGCUCGGGUCUUACAAUGUAACUUGGUGGUAAAGGCGUUAAGACAAACUUAUUUACCACAUUAAUUAAAUGGUCUAUUUAACAUGGAAUAUCAAUUCUCUAAUCACAUCUCAGUUGAACUUCUUCCUUCAAUUAGCAACUGCGAAGUCUACUGACAGAGGCCCUACUGUUCUAGGGUCAUUAUCUGUCAAAUGAGGGUGGAAGGAGCAGAGAGGCAGGCGCUCGCGGGAGCGGCUUCUCCCUCCUUAAGCGAUGAUUAGGGAGUGAGUGGCGCAGUUCUCAUUAGCUGCUCGGCAAUGAGGAGGCCUCACAGAAAUCACGAAUGGAAACAAAGGCAAGUGGGGCCCGUGCUCAGCCUCACAGGGGGACGGCUCGGGAGACCUGGUCUCUCCAGGGCACAGCACCGGGAACCUGAACAAGGGGACACCACGCCAGGAAGGCUCACCUGAAGACGCAGGAGCCUGCCACAGCGCAGGAGGAAAGCCCCUCCUGUGUGUUCAUUUGUCACCCCAGACGGAUUAAAAAGCAGACCCCGACUCACAUUAUCAAAUUUUUUUAAAUUAAAGAAGAUUCAAAACAGGUGAGGCUAUAGCCGGUUGCUACAGAAUAAAUGAGAGAAAAACAUGCA
ensembl:lncRNA